UACGUAGGGUGCAAGCGUUGUCCGGAAUUAUUGGGCGUAAAGAGCUCGUAGGCGGUCUGUCGCGUCGGCUGUGAAAACCCGGAGCUCAACUCCGGGCCUGCAGUCGAUACGGGCAGACUGGAGUUCGGCAGGGGAGACUGGAAUUCCUGGUGUAGCGGUGAAAUGCGCAGAUAUCAGGAGGAACACCGGUGGCGAAGGCGGCUCUCUGGCCCGCAACUGACGCUGAGGCGCGAAAGCGUGGGGAGCAAACAGG
rnacentral:rRNA from 1 species